UACGUAGGGUGCGAGCGUUAAUCGGAAUUACUGGGCGUAAAGCGUGCGCAGGCGGUUCGCAAAGUCUGAUGUGAAAGCCCCGGGCUCAACCUGGGAACUGCAUUGGAAACUAACGGGCUCGAGUGUGGCAGAGGGGGGUGGAAUUCCACGUGUAGCAGUGAAAUGCGUAGAGAUCGGCAGGAAGACCCACGGGGAAGCCAGGGGACUGGGAACGUGCUGACGCUCAGGUGCGAGAGCGUGGGGAGCGAACCGG
rnacentral:rRNA from 1 species